UUCAAAAUGCUGCUGCAGUUGCAAUAUAAUGUAGAUAACAUUGAAUAAAUACAUUUUUGCCAGGUAGGAUACUGAUAAUUAAUUUACUUAUGUUUCAGAAAGAUGACAAUUUAAUAUUUGACUGGGAAGAAUUGCAAAUGUUGUGGAGAGGUGGCCAGCACUUUUUCAAAAGGAAGAGAUCAGUGCCGAGUUCAUGAGAAUCACGACGGAAAAAGGGUGGCGUGACAAAGGAAAGGACUGGCAGGAUUUUACAUCGUUUAGAUGACGAUAUGCCAGGUGAUGGACUGGAGCAAACAAUGGCCGUCUUAAUCAGUGAGACAGACAGACACCAGGGUUCUCAUUGAGUCCACAGAGGUCCUCAGUAACGUGCCCUCAACCGCAGCUGCUGUAGCAGUGCUGUUUGGACUAACAUAUGUGGUAAACCUCGAGUAUCCAAAAGAACUGAAAUUCACUUGAGUUUUUUCUGAAAGUUUUAAUGGAACUUGGCGCAAGAAAAAUGACCCCCAAAAUAUGUCGCCUCUGCACUCUGCUGCAUAGUCAAUGACUGACUGACAGCCUCCAUUUCAGUGCUUUGAUGAGCACAGGAUGGCAGAAAUUCUUUCACCCCAGUCUCCACUACAUCGUAUUAGUAGUUCAGUAGUUGUUUGUUGUUUACUGGAUGUGGCAAUAUCUCUGUUUUGUAUUUGAUUUACAUUUAUUUCUCUGAAUUAUAUUUGUAUUUGUAAAACAAUGUUUGUUUUGCCAAAAAAGUCUAAUCUUAAAAACAGUGAUUUAAUAAAUCUUUUA